rnacentral:rRNA from 1 species
AUAUGGAGCUUGCUUUAUAUAACUUAGCAGCGAACGGGUGAGUAACACGUAGAUAAUCUAUCCUAUACUGGGGGAUAGCCCGAUGAAAGUUGGAUUAAUACCGCAUAUAGCUAUAUAGUUGCAUGAUUAUGUAGUGAAAGAUUUAUUGGUAUAGGAGGAGUCUGCGGCACAUUAGCUAGUAGGUGAGGUAAAGGCUUACCUAGGCGACGAUGUGUAGCCGGUCUGAGAGGAUGAACGGCCACAAUGGAACUGAGACACGGUCCAUACUCCUACGGGAGGCAGCAGUGGGGAAUAUUGCACAAUGGGGGAAACCCUGAUGCAGCAACGCCGCGUGAGUGAAGAAGGUUUUCGGAUUGUAAAGCUCUGUUAGCAGGGAAGAGGAAGGACGGUACCUGCAGAGGAAGCCACGGCUAACUACGUGCCAGCAGCCGCGGUAAUACGUAGGUGGCAAGCGUUGUUCGGAAUAACUGGGCGUAAAGGAUGCGUAGGCGGUUAAACAAGUUAUAUGUUAAAUAUAUAGGCUUAACCUGUAGAAAGCAUAUAAAACUGUUUAACUAGAGUGCAGGAGAGGUAAGUGGAAUUCCUAGUGUAGCGGUGAAAUGCGUAGAGAUUAGGAAGAACACCAGUGGCGAAGGCGACUUACUGGACUGUAACUGACGCUGAGGCAUGAGAGCAUGGGGAGCAAACAGGAUUAGAUACCCUGGUAGUCCAUGCUGUAAACGAUGGGUACUAGGUGUGGGUUGUGAAUAACAAUUCGUGCCGUCGCAAACGCAAUAAGUA